UACGUAGGGUGCAAGCGUUAAUCGGAAUUACUGGGCGUAAAGCGUGCGCAGGCGGUUGUGCAAGACCGCUGUGAAAUCCCCGGGCUUAACCUGGGAAUGGCAUUGGUGACUGCACGGCUAGAGUGUGUCAGAGGGGGGUAGAAUUCCACGUGUAGCAGUGAAAUGCGUAGAGAUGUGGAGGAAUACCGAUGGCGAAGGCAGCCCCCUGGGAUAACACUGACGCUCAUGCACGAAAGCGUGGGGAGCAAACAGG
rnacentral:rRNA from 1 species